rfam:Myotis brandtii contig175286, whole genome shotgun sequence.
AGCCUCCCUCUGCAGGGCGAUCAAUUGUGGGGUUCCACAAUUGAUGGCUCUGCAGAGGGAGGCC